AGUGAACGCUGGCGGUAGGCCUAACACAUGCAAGUCGAACGGCAGCACAGUAAGAGCUUGCUCUUACGGGUGGCGAGUGGCGGACGGGUGAGGAAUACAUCGGAAUCUACUUUUUCGUGGGGGCUAACGUAGGGAAACUUACGCUAAUACCGCAUACGACCUCCGUGUGAAAGCAGGGGAUCUUCGGACCUUGCGCGAUUGAAUGAGCCGAUGUCGGAUUAGCUAGUUGGCGGGGUAAAGGCCCACCAAGGCGACGAUCCGUAGCUGGUCUGAGAGGAUGAUCAGCCACACUGGAACUGAGACACGGUCCAGACUCCUACGGGAGGCAGCAGUGGGGAAUAUUGGACAAUGGGCGCAAGCCUGAUCCAGCCAUACCGCGUGGGUGAAGAAGGCCUUCGGGUUGGAAAGCCCUUUUGUUGGGAAAGAAAAGCAGCAGGUUAAUACCCCGCUGUUCUGACGGUACCCAAAGAAUAAGCACCGGCUAACUUCGUG
rnacentral:rRNA from 1 species